rnacentral:rRNA from 1 species
UUGAACGCUGGCGGCAGGCCUAACACAUGCAAGUCGAGCGGAUGAGAGGAGCUUGCUCCUUGAUUUAGCGGCGGACGGGUGAGUAAUGCCUAGGAAUCUGCCUGGUAGUGGGGGAUAACGUUCCGAAAGGAACGCUAAUACCGCAUACGUCCUACGGGAGAAAGCAGGGGACCUUCGGGCCUUGCGCUAUCAGAUGAGCCUAGGUCGGAUUAGCUAGUUGGUGAGGUAAUGGCUCACCAAGGCGACGAUCCGUAACUG